rnacentral:rRNA from 1 species
GACGAACGCUGGCGGCGUGCUUAACACAUGCAAGUCGAGCGGAGCGGCGAACGGGUGAGUAACGCGUGAGUAACUGCCCCCCUCUCUGGGAUGACAGUUGGAAACGGCAGCUAAUACCGGAUAGUGGGGGAUGGCUCGCGUGCUAUCGGCUUAUUGGUGGGGUAGUGGCCUACGAAGGCGACGACGGGUAGACGGCCUGAGAGCGCGACCGGCCACAUUGGGCUGAGAUACGGCCCAAACUCGUACGGGAGGCAGCAGUGGGGAAUAUUGCACAAUGGUGGAGACUCUGAUGCAGCAACGCGCGUGCGGGAUGACGGCCUUCGGGUUGUAAACCGCUUUCAGCCAUGACGCGGUAGUGGCAGAAGAAGCACCGGCUAACUACGUGCCAGCAGCCGCGGUAAUAC